CAUCCCUUACACACACAGAAACACACAAUGCAUUCAUUACACACACUCAAUGCACCCCUUACACACAUUCAAUGCAUCCCAUACAUACACAGAAACACACCUUGCCGUCCUUACACAUACAAACACAAUUUCACACAAUGCAUUCCUUACACACAUAUCAGGACAUCCCCUACACACUCCACCACCUGUGAACAAACUCAUUGGUGGAACAUGAAGGUGGACCCUGGGACCCAGACCUUGAG